rnacentral:rRNA from 1 species
UACAGAGGGUGCGAACGUUGCUCGGAAUUACUGGGCGUAAAGCGCGUGUAGGCGGACAUGUAAGUCAGGUGUGAAAUCCCUGGGCUCAACCCAGGAACUGCAUCUGAAACUGCGUAUCUUGAGUGUCGGAGAGGGAAGCGGAAUUCCUGGUGUAGAGGUGAAAUUCGUAGAUAUCAGGAGGAACACCGGUGGCGAAGGCGGCUUCCUGGACGAUUACUGACGCUGAGACGCGAAAGCGUGGGGAGCAAACAGG